GGUCCCGUAGCUCAGUUGGAUAGAGUUUCCGUCCGAUAUGCGGAAUGACAUGGGUUCAAUCCCCCAUCGAGACGA
rnacentral:tRNA from 1 species